rnacentral:tRNA from 1 species
UUUAAUUUAGUUUAAAAAAAAUACUGGUUUGUCAAGUCAGGGAUAAGUACUUUUAUAACUUAAUUUAGG